CAUCCAAAAACCCUUAGGUCGUCCUUCCAUAAGUUAACCCGCGUCGGAAGAGCUCUCUCCUUCGAUCGCUUAUGGCGGCCGUUGGGGAGGUCAGCGGAUCCAAGAAGAGGAAGCGCUUGCCCUUAGCGGCAAAGGGAGGGGGGAAGCCCAAGUUUACGUAGCUUAAGAACGCUGCUGCCAAGCCGACGAAGCUCAAAACGCAUGGCUUCAAGAAGCAGUCCAAGGCAUUCGAGUUAAAACCGGGAAAGCCUACCAAGGCCGGCGAUGAGGCCGUUGUACAGGCGAAGAAGGAGCCUAAGACCCCAAGGGAGAGGCGCUUAGCUGCCAAGCUAGCUGUUGGUGGAAGUGACGGUAUCUUGCAAUCUUUUGCUGAUAGAAUGGAUGCCUUGCAUAAAGCAAUAGCUUCUCUGGCAGCCCUGCCCAAGACAAAUAAGUCACAAGAGGAGCAUGUUUUGGAGAACUUCCACUCCAGUAGGCUCAUCAGGAAGCUCGUCCUUGGUUUCGUAGCCACUCUAUGGAAAAUGGCUUUGGAUGGGAAGUGCGACGUCUGGGCUCAAGGCCACAGCAGUUGCAAGGUGCUUCUCGCAUUCCUAGAAUCAUCGGUUUCAGAAGUUAAAGACUUGGCGAAGCCUGAGCUUCAGCCUUUGAUGGAUUGUUGUGUUCUUAAAACUCCUGAGAAUAAGGAGGAUGAAGGGUGUGAAUGCUGAUGACAAAAAAGGGUUUAUCUAUUAACCUUUCAACUGUUUUUGUUGUUAAUAUUUCCUGAUUCUUGUUGAACAUAAUUUUUCAGUUCAUUCUACUCAUUCUAUCUGCCCUCUUGUUGCCAUGUAAUUUUGAUGAUUAUUCCCAUUAACUCCUCGGUAGUGAAAAUAUUUUCUUGACAUUCAUUGGAGAAACUUCUUUAUGUAUAUAAUGAUUAGUCUUUCUUUUAAUAUUGAUCUGCAGAAUGCAGUCAUGUAUUUGUUUUUUUUUUAAUUUUUAUAAAGAAUAAAUUUUAUCCAAAUGAUCUUAUGUCAAUAAGUGAAAGAAGAAAAAGAUAUGAUGUAACCUUACAUUUUUUGUUUGCCUUGGAUGAUAAAACUUUCUGCAAACUUAAUCCUGUCUAAGUUAAUUUUAGUUUGUGAAGUGGCCAUUUUGUCUAUGUCAUUUCCCAUGAUUAAUACAUGUUCUUAUCAUUCCUGAUUUCUGUUGGCUCUGUUUACAAGCAGGGGCCUGGAGGCCAACAACCUUCUGCGCCUGCUGCCCAACCUGAGGUUCCCAAGAAAGCUAAAAAGUAGAAGGAUGACGAUGGUUUCUAUUGUAAAUCAUUAGUUGCAGAAUGGAAGCAUCAGCAAAUGGAUUAUUUCUUUACAUUUUCAAGCUGUGAGACAAUGCUAGAAGAAGAGAGAAAAUAGAAGCUAUGUUUCACUUAUUCUAAGUUCCUUUCCGUGUUUAGCCAGUUGGAUAUGCUACUUUUCACUAAUGGUAUUACCAUAUUUUGAGUGCUUAGAAACAUUGUGCAUUCCCUUUU